rnacentral:rRNA from 1 species
GAUGAACGCUAGCGGCAGGCUUAAUACAUGCAAGUCGAGGGGCAGCAUGACUGUAGCAAUACAGUUGAUGGCGACCGGCAAACGGGUGCGGAACACGUACGCAACUUACCCAGAACUGGGGGAUAGCCCUCCGAAAGGAGGAUUAACACCCCAUAAGAUAGUGGUGUGGCAUCACGACAGCUAUUAAAACUCCGGUGUUUUGGAUGGGCGUGCGGCUGAUUAGGAGUUGGUGUAGGUAACGGCUCACCAAGCCUGCGAUCAGUAACUGGGUGUGAGAGCACGACCAGUCACACGGGCACUGAGAC